AUCUUUGCGCUUGGGGAAAUGACGCAUCUAGUGAGGUUCUAACCGAGGCGAGUCCAUUGGUGGUUGAAAACUAUUUCCAAACCCCCUCUUCGGCUUUAGUUCUGCUUGAGCCGUCGAGAAUUUUUGAAAAGUAAAACCCGAUAAC